rnacentral:rRNA from 1 species
AGCAGCCGCGGUAAUUCCAGCUCCAAUAGCGUAUAUUAAAGUUGUUGCAGUUAAAAGCUCGUAGUUGAAUUUCGGAAUUGGCGCAUCGGUCGUGCCUCACGGGGUAUGAACUGGUGCAGUCAAUUUCUCACCUUCUGGAGAACCGCGAUGUCCUUAAUUGGAUGCCGUGGGGAACCAGGACCUUUACUUUGAAAAAUUAGAGUGUUUAAAGCAGGCAUUUUUGCUUGAAUACAUUAGCAUGGAAUAAUAAAAUAGGACGGCAUGGUUCUAUUUUGUUGGUUUCUAGGACCACCGUAAUGAUUAAUAGGGAUAGUUGGGGGCAUUAGUAUUCAAUUGUCAGAGGUGAAAUUCUUGGAUUUAUUGAAGACUAACUACUGCGAAAGCAUUUGCCAAGGAUGUUUUCAUUAAUCAAGAACGAAAGUUAGGGGAUCGAAGACGAUCAGAUACCGUCGUAGUCUUAACCAUAAACUAUGCCGACUAGGAAUCAGACGAUGUUAAUUUUUAAUGUACUCG